UUUUCACGCCCAGGUGAGAUGAAUCCUUCCUAGCCAUGGAUCAAUUCUUGCCCAAUUGAUCUCAACCUUCCAUGCGUGUAUAAAUGGAGGUGCAGUUCCCCGUUCAUUCUUCGCACAUAUCCUCUUCUUCAUUUCAGUUUUUCUGCAGAAAAAAAAAAAAGAGAGAAGAAGAAGCAGAAACUCUCCAUCUCCUAUGUUUCUCUUCCAACCCGCAGCAACUCUGUCCUUCCUUCUUCUUUCUUCUCUGUUCUACUUCUUUCCCGCUCUUCCCUUUACUCUCUCUUGCCGAGAGACACAGGGAGUCUGAACGAGAAAGUGAGAGACCGUGAGAUGGAGAGAAGAAAUUGAGUAGGAGACCCAUAAACCGAUUCUCCUCUUCCCUCUGUCGUUCCCUUAGCCAGAAACCAAACCAAACAGUGCAGAAACAAACUCUUCUUCUUCCCUGUGUAGUUCCGGCCAGCAACAGAAAAACAGAGCAUAAGAGCUCUCUGUUUCUCCCCACUCGUCCAGCAACUGUCUUCUUCUCCUCUCUCUCGGCCUAGUUGAAGAAAAAUAGGAAGAAAAGGGAUCCUCUCACUGUGGCAUGAGAUUGUGGUGAUAACUGCAAUCUCAUGCGAGUUUUUGCAGGGUGGAUCAAAGGUCAAGACUAUUGGAAUAAUUAUUUUAAUAUGAAAUAUUUGUUAUGUUGGAGAAAACAAUAAUUAUGUAUUUAUUAAGUGCUGCAUGUGGCACAUAUGUUAUUAUUUUGGAUGUAAUUAUUAUAUCAGAACAAAAGGUUAUUAUUUUUAUAUAUUGAGAUUAUCUAGUCAGCUCU